rnacentral:rRNA from 1 species
GAAGGGGGCGAGCGUUGUUCGGAUUUACUGGGCGUAAAGGGCGCGCAGGCGGCUAUUUUUGUCAGGCGUGAAAGCCCCGGGCUUAACCUGGGAACAGCGCUUGAGACGGGAUGGCUAGAGAUCGGGAGAGGAGAGUGGAAUUCCCAGUGUAGAGGUGAAAUUCGUAGAUAUUGGGAAGAACACCGGUGGCGAAGGCGGCUCUCUGGACCGAUACUGACGCUGAGGCGCGAAAGCGUGGGGAGCAAACAGGAUUAGAUACCCUGGUAGUCCACGCUGUAAACGAUGUGUGCUAGACGUUGGGGAGCCUAGCUCUUCGGUGUCGCAGCUAACGCUUUAAGCACACCGCCUGGGGAGUACGGCCGCAAGGUUA